GCAACCUGUCGUGCCGUCGUCCUCAUCCCCUUCGUCGUCGGUCCGACUGACUCCGGCGCCCCUCGCAUGUGGCGGUGGCGCUCGCGGCCCUCGGAACUCGGCGCCUUUCUGGAUCUCGGAUCCAGCAUGGCCGCGAGGUCUAAAUCAAUUAAGAAGAUGCACGGUUUAUGCACUUACCUUCUCACCAAUAGCACCCUGAAUUAGAGUCGUGUCAGCAGAUAUACUGGAGACUAUUUGUCCAGUCGUCGUUUCUACAUCGAAGAAUGUCAUAUCCUGUCUGAGGACUGAUUUGAGAUACAAAGAUCGAAUACGAGUAGCCUGCCUCUCACCAGUCAUCGUCCAGCAUGAUACCUCUGGCUUGCAGACAAUGACUUGUGGAGGGGCUGUACCUUGUUAACUCGAUGAACAAUGGUGUCCGGGGUUGCAGCCCCAAAGGCAUCAAUCAUCUGCCCGAAUAUGAUCGUCAUAACCACCAUCGACAUGCCGCUGCCCAACGCCCCAACCAUGCCGACCAGCAUCA